CCUACGGGUGGCAGCAGUGGGGAAUAUUGCACAAUGGGGGAAACCCUGAUGCAGCGACGCCGCGUGAGUGAAGAAGUAUUUCGGUAUGUAAAGCUCUAUCAGCAGGAACGAGACAAGACGGUACCUGACUAAGAAGCCCCGGCUAACUACGUGCCAGCAGCCGCGGUAAUACGUAGGGGGCAAGCGUUAUCCGGAAUCACUGGGUGUAAAGGGAGCGUAGACGGCUGUGCAAGCCUGAAGUGAAAGGCGGGGGCCCAACCCCUGGACUGCUUUGGGAACUGUACGGCUGGAGUGCAGGAGAGGUAAGUGGAAUUCCUAGUGUAGCGGUGAAAUGCGUAGAUAUUAGGAGGAACACCGGUGGCGAAGGCGGCCUGCUGGACUGCAACUGACGUUGAGGCCCGAAAGCGUGGGGAGCAAACAGGAUUAGAUACCCGAGUAGUC
rnacentral:rRNA from 1 species